GGUGCAGAAGGACCAAUAUGAAGGCG
rnacentral:piRNA from 1 species